rnacentral:rRNA from 1 species
AUUGCACGCUGGCGGCAGGCCUAACACAUGCAAGUCGAGCGAGCGGCGGACGGGUGUGUAAAGUCUGGGAAACUGCCUGAUGGAGGGGGAUAACUACUGGAAACGGAAGCUAAUACCGCAUCCCAUCAGAUGUGCCCCGAUGGGAUUAGCUAGUAGGUGGGGUAACGGCUCACCUGGGCGACGAUCCCUAGCUGGUCUGAGAGGAUGACCAGCCACGCGGGAGCUGGGACAAGGUCCAGACGCCUACGGGAGGCAGUCGGGGAGAAUGUGGCACAGUGGGCGCAAGCCUGAUGCAGCCAUGCCGCGUGUGUGAAGAAGGCCUGCGGGUUGUAAAGCACUUUCAGCGGGGAGGCGUUACCCUCAGAAGAUGCACCGGCUGACUCCGUGCCAGCCGCCGCGGUAAUUC